GUCUAUAUAGCUUAAAUACCUUAAAGCCUAGCUCUGAAAAAGCUACAAUGAUUAAUUAAUCUAUAAACA
rnacentral:tRNA from 1 species